ACUGCCGGUGACAAACCGGAGGAAGGUGGGGAGUGACGUCAAGUCAUCAUGGCCCUUACGGCCUGGGCUACACACGUGCUACAAUGGUCGGUACAAAGGGUUGCCAAGCCGCGAGGUGGAGCUAAUCCCAUAAAACCGAUCAUAGUCCGGAUCGCAGUCUGCAACUCGACUGCGUGAAGUCGGAAUCGCUAGUAAUCGUGAAUCAGAAUGUCACGGUGAAUACGUUCCCGGGCCUU
rnacentral:rRNA from 1 species